CACUGAGGGACUGAACCCCGCGUAUCCUCGCUGGGUCGCCUUCCCCAUCCUCUGACCUGGGCUGCUCUGACCUGAGGGAAUUAAAGGAGGCAGGAGCAUUGGAGCACUUUGCCCUUACCUUCUACUGAAAUCAUUCAAGAAAACAGUCUGUUAGAGCCUCCUGCUCCUUUGCGUGUUGCCCAGGCCACCUCAGCUGGAUGACAACUGGACCUGAAAGAAAUCUGGAAUUGGCAGGGGAAGCAUGACCAAGCACCAUCAAUGGUUCUCUGCCCAGGUAAACAUUUCUGCCUGAAGUUGUCUCUAGCACCACGUCGUGCCCCACCACUAAUACCCGGAGAGAAGAGGAAAAUGAGCCACAGAGAGAGAUGAAAUC